CAGGAGUGGAACCCGAUGUGCUCUUCAGCUGUUGGAGCUCAUCCGCCUCACGGUUUGACAUGUUCUGCAUUCUGAGAUGCUUUUCUGCUCACCACGGUUGUAAAGAGUGAUUAUUUUAUUAUUAUUUGAUUAUCUGACCUAUCUCAUCAAUAAAACUAUGCAACAGCCAAAGUGACUGAGCUCAAAAACUUUCCUUAAUUCUGAUGUUUGAAGCUCUUGACCUGCAUCUGCAUGAUUUAAUGCAUUGUGCUGCUUCCACAUGAUUAGUAGAUUAGAUAAUGACUCCAUGAAUGACCAGAAGUACGGGUGUUCCUAUUAAAGUGGCUGGUUGAAGGGGUUUACUCUUUACCAAAAACGAAGCCCAUCAGCUUUACAUGCUGUUGUAUUAAGAGUUUAACAGCAUCCUGACUCUCAGCCCCCUUCUGCAUUAGCCUGUCAAACAUCUCUAGCACACGGCCAUCAUCGUUAUUGUGAGAAAUUAUGUUUAUUUCCUCUGUUUAAAAGCUAUUUUCUCUCUCCGCUUAUCUCUGACUCUCUCCAGAGCCCUCAUCAGUCACUGUUAUAUAACCUUGGGUGUGUGUGUGUGUGUGUGUGAGAGAGAGAGAGGAGUCUUCAGAGACCCAGGAGCCACGUCUCCACGAUUAAGAUCUUAAUUAAUACCCUGUAUGCACGAAUGAGUGAGAGAGAGAGUGUGUGUGUGUGUGUGUGUGUGUGUGUGUGUGUGUGUAAUUGAAGAAGAGAACACAGAUGCAAAAUCAGAGAUAAUUACACCUCUGGUUCAGAUUUUUAAAAAAUGUUACAACAUUUUUUUGUAACCGUAUCAGUCACUGUGUAUCCUCUCACCAUUUUCAGGUCUGAUCUUGCAGAUGGAUCAGAUAUUCUUUUCAAUUAUUAUCCAUUAAGAUAAAUGGAUAUAUCUGUUUUAUACCCCGGCUCUGUUGAAGUCUCGAUUCUGAUUGGUCUGACAGUAAUUCCGGCUGCAAGGAUUAUAUUAUUGAGCGCUCUCUCUCUCUCUCUCUCUCUCUCUAUGGUCUAUGGUUUCUAUAGUAACAGCUCAUUCAACAGCAGCGACUUGUACGGUAGAUGCCUCACAUAAGCAGAUUUUAUAAGGUGUGUAAUUGUUCAUUGAUAUGGUGAUGUAGUUUUUUCUGUAAGGAGAAAAUGUAGCCUUUUUGGAAGGAGUCUCCAGUGUCAGCGGGUAAAGAGGAAACUUUUCAGGGCCGAGGAGUUGACGCUUUGAGUUCUGAGUUUUCUCUGCAACGUGACAAGCUGCAUUUUUGUCUUAUUAACUUCAAGAAUGGGAAAGAAAGAGAGGGGACAAUGAAAAAGUACAUGUCGUUCUUUAAUAAAUAAAUAAAUAACAUUUAUUAGUGGAGCAUGAUCGGAUGAAACGAAUCAGACUCUUCGGUUCGUUUUGACCUCCCUAACGGACGGUAUGAAUUUUAUGUGAAUCGGAGUAUGAUGAAUUUUUCACCCCCCCAAAAAAUCACAAAGGUUAACUAACCCCUUACCAUUUUUCUAUUUUGGGUGAAAAAUUUGACGUUCUCGGAUCUUCCCCAAAUUCACAGUGUGCGUUAGGGAGAUCGAGACUAACACAUCAGUGCACAUAGUUUUGCUCUAUCAUGCUCCUAAGCUGAGCUAUAGUAUAUUAUAUUCUAGUACAGUACAGUAGGUAAAAUAGUAAUACUAUUGUGUAGUAUAGUACGGUUUAGUAGAUCAAAUAGGUACAGUAGAUAAAAUUGUUGUAGUACAAAAUAGCAGAUAAAACAAGUGUUUCCAUCAAAACUCGUACACUGCAUGUGUGGUUUAACUGAAAUUGAUCAUGAAAAUGUGUAUAUUUGUGCGUCUUAAACCUGUAUAUUUGUGUAAUAUAUUAGAAAUGAGAUGUCAUAAGACGUUGAAGUCAUAAAAUAAAAAUCCAUAAAAGUUUGUACUUAAAAAAAAAAAUAGGUUGCCUAAGUAGACGUGCUGCUAUUAGAAAAUAAUCAGCGGCGAGGUGGUAACAGUAAUCACGUGUCGUGCCGGGCCGCAUCACGUCACCACCAGUGUUGUUUGUCUCCAUAUAAAGGCACACCCGCAAGUGUUUUAUUCCUUAUUGAAGAGACAAGUGUAGUGGUGUCAACUUUUCCUGUUUCGAUAUUACAGUGCUGUGAAUUCGUACUGAAAUGAGUUGAAACUCGUAAUUGAUAAACACAUACAGCUGAGGUCAAGAUCUUUUUUUUUUAUAUAAUUAAUUUUUUAUUAGUACAGCCCUUCAGAAGAUAUUUACAUGUUUCCCAGAAGACACAAUUAUAACAAUUUACACAGAUAACCCUGUUCAAAAGUUGACACCCCCCUGGCUAUCAAUGUAUCGUGUUGCUCUCUUGAGCAUCAGUGAAUGUUUGCACCUUUUGUAAUAGUCGUGUACGAGUCCCUCGGUCGUCCUCAGUGUGAAAAGAUGGAUCUCAAAAUCAUAUAGGCGCUGUCGGAAAGGGGUCAAAUAUGCAGAAAAUGCUGGAAAAGGAAAGAAUGUGCAGAUCCUGGAGGACUUUUUCUUGAAGAACAGUGGGCAGGACAAACAAGGGACUCGUGAACAUCGAUCACAAAACGUGAACACAGUUUUUCUGAUCUCUUUUAUUAUUAUUAUUAACAUUUUCGCAGAUUCUGCAAAGGCGUAUGGAAAUUCAUGGCCUCAACUGUGGAUUAAAAGAGACGUGGAUUAAAAGAGACAUCCAGGGCCAAGUCUCAGAGCAUAUAAGAGAGAAGACGAACUAGAAGUGUCUUCAUUUACAGAGUCGACGACUCUGUGGCCCAGUUUUGCCUCAGCUGAGAGUUAAAAACAACAUGACACACUGAAAGAUGGAGAGGAAAAAAACACACCGUACAUUAAGGGCAUGGGACACACACACACACACACUCUCGCUCUCGUCUAGAGGAAAUGUAGAGCGUCUGAACACGAUGUGACUUAAGGCCAUGUGCACACAAACACUACAAACACACGUGGCAUUUUUCACAUAUUUCAACCACAAGAAGUAGUUCAAAGCAUCAGCUGCAGCAGAGCAGACAUACUAGCGCACACACAUACACACCCACCCACACACACCCACACACACACACACACAGGUUUUCAGAGACAGGAAGAUGAACCCAUUUGCACCAGCUAUGGUGCAUGGUAGAAUCACUGAGACGGAUCUAUUUAUGGCUGAAACGUAAUGUCACUGUACAUCCAACACAGCACACAUAAACUCAACCCUCCUUCUGUCUGUCUGCAUGCCUGCCUGUCUGUCUGUCUGCCUGCAUGCCUGCCUGUCUGUCUGUCUGCCUGCCUGCCUGUCUGUCUGCCUGCCUGUCUGUCUGCCUGCCUGUCUGUCUGCCUGUCUGUCUGUCUGUCUGCCUGGUGCACUGGGACUCUUAGUCACUUCUCUGAGACCAGGCCGAGAUGGGAUUUCGAAAGGGCAUCAAGAGGACACACAUUUCCAGUUCCUUAUUCACUAUUUUAUUUUUUCUUUCUCUUCCUGCUGCAUGAAUGUAUGAGCAUAGUGAGUCAUUAUCAUCAGGAAUCCAUCAACAACAUAAACGCACAUCAGUACUGCUGUCCGUUUUUGGUCAUACUUGAUUUCUGAUUUUAUUUUGUUUGAAGUUGUAGUUGCUUCUUAAAAAUGUAAAAAAAAAAAAAAAAAUUUAGAUAAAAAAGAAGAAGAAAAAAAGUAUGUUAUGUAAGGAAUAACACAUCAUGACCCAUGAUGUUAUACAAAAAUAAUACGUGCACUUCUGAAGCGUCUUAUUCUGCUUAUACCUCAGAGAUUUGCCAACAGUUACUAUAUUUAAUUAAUGAACGAUCGACAUGUGGCGCUUUUUUAACGGUUUAUAGUUAUAUAUACUGUUGUGGAACGUCCACGAGCGGCUGUAAACUGGCUGUUCCCUUCACCGGCAUCUCCUUCUCUCUCAAGAACUUAAUGAGACAAGGAUUUUGCGCUGGUAGUAAUGAAUGCAAAAUCAAGCAACCUCUUUUAUUAAAACGCCUGCAGAUUUUCUGCAGAUUUGGGCCGAGACACGUCACGUGACUUCAUCACGACGAGCAUUCGGCCAAAGCGCUCUUAGAAUUCACGUGCAUCGGACACGAGUACCGCUAAAAAGUUCUCAAUUAGCAACAAACGCCACUGUGAAAGACCGCGCAAGACAAUUUUGUGCGAUUGCAAUUUCGCCAAUUCAAAAAAAGCACAAAAAUAAAACUCAUUCUGGAAAAAUCCGCAGCAAAAUCAAGCAUUUUUGGCCGCAACAAUCACAAAAAAACUCCCUGAACUCCUGUAUGGAGUGCUUAUUUAAAAUCUGUUCAUUAUUAGUCUUGGAUUAUGUGGAGCAUCCGCCAUACAAGUCCCUGUGUAUGAGCUGUUAGGAUUGAAACAAUAACCGAAUAGAUAGAGUGCUCUUAGUAUACAAAAGUAAUGCACACCUUCUGACCACUCAGAUUCAAGAAUAUAAUCGCACUGUAGCGUAAUCAUAUAUUAUAUUACAUUCAUAACAGUUGGCAAGAAAUUUCCAAAUACGUAAUGCAUUAAAUGAACUAAUUUACUAGGAAACAAGUCCACAAUGAGAAAUGACGAAUAUAUACUAAACUAAUACCUUAAAGGGGCCAUCAGUGACUUUUAAGUCUGACAUAUCCUGCAUCAGCAUGCAGGUCUUCUAGCCUAGGAAGGGGCAUGCAUGCUGAAUUUUGAGUUACAUAAUACAUCUACCACACUGUUGUGUCUUUAAGAUUCCCCUCUGACUUCUCAAACCGCAUAAAACCUACAUAAGCCAAACAACAGGAGGAAGGAACAACUGGGAGAAUCGAGUACACGAAUGUAUCAAAUCGAAAGUUGUAAAUUACUUGGGCUUUUACGGAACAGGAAGUGAGAAGCAGUGUUGAGUUUGAACAUUGAAUUCAUUUCUGGGCCAGAAAACUUGAAAUGAAGAAACUAGCCAGUUUAACAAGUCGCACCUUUAACAUUAUUAUUGAUGGUAUAUUCAAAUACGUACGGUUUGUUACCGAUAACUAUUGCUGUAAAUAAUGAUAAUGUUAUUAAUAGGAACUUUAAUGGGAAAUAGGCCGGAAAAAGCUUAAUUGAAGAACAAAAAAAAAAGAGAGAGAGAGAAAUCAUGGAUGCGACGCUCUAAUUGCAAUAAUUACAGUUUUCACUCUUAAUGUUUCCGCACGUAAACAUCGCCGUGCACUUUUCUAUUAAAUCACAAAAGUGCUAGAUCUAUGUGAGUGAGCAAGAAAUGGAAGUGGGGAAAAGUGUGUGUGUGUGUGUGUGUGUGUGUGUGUGUGUGUGUGUCUGCGGUGUGCAUAUAUACGUGUGCAUGUCCUCGUCUCCCUGCAGUGAAUCUGGCGGCUCCAUUAGCCUUUAGUGCUGCAGCUAUUCAUGCCUGCUGAUGACAUCACUGUAACUAACCCAUAACUGAAUCAUACACACACACACACACACACACACACACACACACACACGUGCACAAUCCAAUUCUGAUUACUCUAAAAACUCCACAGAUUUGCUCAAGAUGAUCUGACACUCUCCUUUCAGCCAAAGUGCUGGUUUUGACCGUGUUUGUGGUCUGCAAUGCAAUAAUCUUUGAAAUAAUAUUUCCAGCAGGAAAACUGAGGUUGAGAUGAGAGCACUAGCCAAAAUAUUAAUA
ensembl:lncRNA